CCGUACCGCAAACCGACACAGGUAGUCAAGAUGAGAAUUCUAAGGUGAGCGAGCGAACUCUCGUUAAGGAACUCGGCAAAAUGACCCCGUAACUUCGGGAGAAGGGGUGCUCUUUAGGGUUCACGCCCAGAAGAGCCGCAGUGAAUAGGCCCAAGCGACUGUUUAUCAAAAACACAGGUCUCUGCUAAACCGUAAGGUGAUGUAUAGGGGCUGACGCCUGCCCGGUGCUGGAAGUUUAAGAGGAGUGGUUAGCUUCUGCGAAGCCACGAAUCGAAGCCCCAGUAAACGGCGGCCGUAACUAUAACGGUCCUAAGGUAGCGAAAUUCCUUGUCGGGUAAGUUCCGACCUGCACGAAUGGCAUAAUGAUGGGGGCGCUGUCUCCAGCAGAGACUCAGUGAAAUCGAAUUCGCCGUGAAGAUGCGGUGUACCCGCGGCUAGACGGAAAGACCCCGUGAACCUUUACUACAGCUUUACAUUGAACUUUGACCUGACUUGUGCAGGAUAGGUGGG
rnacentral:rRNA from 1 species